rnacentral:rRNA from 1 species
GGGCUUAACUCCGGAUCUGCGGUGGGUACGGGCAGACUAGAGUGCAGUAGGGGAGACUGGAAUUCCUGGUGUAGCGGUGAAAUGCGCAGAUAUCAGGAGGAACACCGAUGGCGAAGGCAGGUCUCUGGGCUGUAACUGACGCUGAGGAGCGAAAGCAUGGGGAGCGAACAGGAUUAGAUACCCUGGUAGUCCAUGCCGUAAACGUUGGGCACUAGGUGUGGGGGACAUUCCACGUUUUCCGCGCCGUAGCUAACGCAUUAAGUGCCCCGCCUGGGGAGUACGGCCGCAAGGCUAAAACUCAAAGGAAUUGACGGGGGCCCGCACAAGCGGCGGAGCAUGCGGAUUAAUUCGAUGCAACGCGAAGAACCUUACCAAGGCUUGACAUGAACCGGAAUGGCGCAGAGAUGUGUCAGCCACUUGUGGCCGGUUUACAGGUGGUGCAU